rfam:Rickettsiales bacterium Ac37b, complete genome.
UCACCUCUCCCUUAAGGGAGAGGUCGUGUAAAUGCUUGCAUUUAUACGGGUGAGGGU